GGGGAGGGAGGUGUGUGGGGAGGGAGGGAGGGGAACUAUUGCAUUCAAUAAGUGAACUGAACAAGGAGCUGGUUUUGGAGAAUACGACAAAAUGGCUGUGGUUGCACUCUACCAAUCGGGGCGUUUAAAAAACGAAACUAUCUGAAGGGUUUGCAGAGGGAAAACAUCAUCACACAACCGGUCCUGGUGGCUUGCCGGUUAUAAACCGCUGAACGGUCGGUUCUCCGGGAGAGGCUGAAGCGAUCAGCGCCUUUUUUUUCUCAAUGCACAACAACGCCUCUACUAGCGGUGUGCAGUGAAUGAGGAGCCCAUCGAGCCCGGACGAUGGGAGCCAACGCCGUCGCCGUCGCCGUGCCGACGCCGACAGAGAUCCGCUCAACUUGGAGAGCCGACAGCGCCGCCAUAGGAGAUCCGAAGCUGCGUUUAAUAAUUGAUUCAUUAAUCAUCUAUAAUUGCACUCAAGAAUUCAACAAGGGCUCCUGCAGCAACAUCAACAGCAGGUCACGUUAUCCCAGGAUAACCGUCACAGAGCCAUGUCAAGCAAGCUACAUGGAGGGUGUACCCGUCACGCUCCUCUUCCGAAGAGUCGCUUCAAAGCUCUGAAAAUUCAAAAACAUAGAAAGGAUCUUCAUUAACAACAUCCUGUAAACCACAGAAAGCUAGAAGUUACAAACAGACAAUGUUAUUCAAAAGGAUUAUCAUCUUUCCAAGCAUUUCCUGGAGUCCAGUUCUUAAGUGGGUGAUGUCUUGGAGGUGAAAUGGCCGAGAGAAACUGACACAUCUCUCGACCUUGGAAUUCCAAACGUUCUCUUGCACCCUUUUUUGUCCCGUGGGCCACAAAGGUCCAAGAGGGGUUUUCAAAGAUGCGUACACCAGACUUUAAAACAAUGCAGGAGGUGAAACUCACCUGGCUCUAGCAAAGCAUCACCAAGUGUUGGCAAGCGCUGCAGACGACCAUGCCAACGUUUCGGCAAUCCUGGUUCUCAGUCACCUAGAAUGACUGGAAACAAAGUGCAAAACGUGAAUUCUCAGUGGCUUGUGGUCAAGGUUACAUGCAAGUCAUUGUGGAAAAAAGCUACAAUUUCAGUAUAGUCUUGAUUUGCUUACCUGUUAAGGGAUCGGUUUCCAUUAAGGCCAGCAUCUUCCAAAGACCCAGGCCUCACAUUUCUGAAAAAAGCAAAAAUUGUCAUUAGAACUUCCUGGACACAAUGAAUAGCUCAUUUAAACUGCGCCAGCAUCCAAUUGCAGUACACAUUAUUAAUCUCCCUUCUCUGAGUAAUCCCAACAUGAUUUAAGUUCUUAACCAGGUAAUGUCCAGGAGGUGAAAUGGCCGAAGGCCACUGAUCUAGCCCUCUGCCUUGGAAUUCCCGAUUUUCUCUAGCAUCCUUUUUUGUCCCGUUGGUCACAAAGGCCACUGAGGGGUUUUCAAAGAUGCGGACCUACACUAACAGUACAGAGAGAGUUCAAGCUAGCCUUCUUGUGUGAAGACUACGUCAGUUUCUCCAACAUUAACUGAUUCAAUUUGUAUUCGUCCUUUUUGGUAGGCAGAGCUGGAGGCUGGCUACAGACCCCCACGCCACACGGAGAGGGAGAGAAACUAGGAAAUUCGUGAAGCACUUCCAGUUUAAACUUUUUCAAGAUGUUUUGAAUGUGACGUUGUCUAUUAAACGUGACUGACCCUAAUCCUAUCAACCAACUAAACUCAUCGGCUUGACCCGAUUGAGCUAUGACAGUCGCAGGUGACAGACGGCUAACAGUUAGCCGCUAAUGUUGGCCGGGCUAAAGCUGGUGCACAUUACGGUACCUAUCGUCAUUCAUGGACAUGUUGGGUUUACAGUUAAACUUUCCCUCGUGUAAACAAUAGUUCUGGACACAAUUUUAUUCAGAACCAGUGUUCAAUUCCACACCUAGUUAGGGCUGGAUGGACACAUGCUCCACGUGGUUAGCCAUUAGCAUCAAAUGCUACAAUAAGCACUUCGCAGUUCGUUAUAUUUUAACGUGUAAAUGAUGGCCUCUAAGCUCCAAGUUCACUAACCCAUUUCAACAAACCAUGGCAAUCAAUGUUGCAAGAUCUCCCGCCUUAUCCGGCAACACUGAUGUUGCUUUUGACGAUUACGUUUAGACAUUGUCAAACAACUUACGGUCAAGUUCCAUUUCCUCUGCCGUUCAGGUCCCUUCGUCGUUCGGUUUCGUGGAGAGGACACUGCAGACAGUGGUCUUCUCUAGUUUUCAUUUCUUUAACAUAGGAACAUUCAAGCUUUUCCAUUCUACUUCUCAGGUAAAACACACAUGUCCUAUGAAAGAGAAAGAGCUCGAACUGGAAACGUACUUAUACGUAGGCUGAAUCUCACGCCCGCCCAUUUUCACAACGAGCCAAUCAAAAUGCAAACACAAUGCUGACACGUGGGUGUGUUUAAGCCAAUCAACAGACAGAACACUGACAUACUUCUUUGCGACUACACCCACUAUGUAAGAUUUGAAAACAUGUUGAAUAGCAUUUUACUGCAUUGGACCACCAAUAAUAA
ensembl:lncRNA